rnacentral:rRNA from 1 species
AUGAACGCUGGCGGCGUGCCUAAUACAUGCAAGUCGAGCGAACAGACGAGGAGCUUGCUCCUCUGACGUUAGCGGCGGACGGGUGAGUAACACGUGGAUAACCUACCUAUAAGACUGGGAUAACUUUGGGAAACCGGAGCUAAUACCGGAUAAUAUAUUGAACCGCAUGGUUCAAUAGUGAAAGACGGUUUUGCUGUCACUUAUAGAUGGAUCCGCGCCGCAUUAGCUAGUUGGUAAGGUAACGGCUUACCAAGGCGACGAUGCGUAGCCGACCUGAGAGGGUGAUCGGCCACACUGGAACUGAGACACGGUCCAGACUCCUACGGGAGGCAGCAGUAGGGAAUCUUCCGCAAUGGGCGAAAGCUUGACGGAGCAACGCCGCGUGAGUGAUGAAGGUCUUCGGAUCGUAAAACUCUGUUAUUAGGGAAGAACAAAUGUGUAAGUAACUAUGCACGUCUUGACGGUACCUAAUCAGAAAGCCACGGCUAACUACGUG